rnacentral:rRNA from 1 species
AUUGAACGCUGGCGGCAGGCUUAACACAUGCAAGUCGAACGAUGAAGAUCCAGCUUGCUGGAUUGGAUUAGUGGCGGACGGGUGAGUAACACUUAGGAAUCUACCUGACAGCGGGGGAUAGCCCGGAGAAAUUCGGAAUAAUACCGCAUACCUUCUACGGAAGAAAGGGGGCAGUUUACUGCUCUCACUGACAGAUGAGCCUAAGCAAGAUUAGCUAGAUGGUAGGGUAAAGGCCUACCAUGGCGACGAUCUUUAGCUGGUCUGAGAGGACGAUCAGCCACACUGGGACUGAGACACGGCCCAGACUCCUACGGGAGGCAGCAGUGGGGAAUAUCGGACAAUGGGGGCAACCCUGAUCCAGCCAUGCCGCGUGUGUGAAGAAGGCCUCUUGGUUGUAAAGCACUUUAAGUAGCGAAGAAGACCCCAUGGUUAAUACCCAUGGGCGAUGACAUUAACUACAGAAUAAGCACCGGCUAACUCUGUGCCAGCAGCCGCGGUAAUACAGAGGGUGCAAGCGUUAAUCGGAAUUACUGGGCGUAAAGCGAGCGUAGGUGGUUAAAUAAGUCAGAUGUGAAAUCCCCGAGCUUAACUUGGGAACUGCAUCUGAAACUGUAUAACUAGAGUAGAUGAGAGGGAAGUAGAAUUCCAGGUGUAGCGGUGAAAUGCGUAGAGAUCUGGAGGAAUACCGAUGGCGAAGGCAGCUUCCUGGCACCAUACUGACACUGAGGCUCGAAAGCGUGGGUAGCAAACAGG